rnacentral:rRNA from 1 species
GUUUGGCACCUCGAUGUCGGCUCAUCGCAUCCUGGGGCUGGAGCAGGUCCCAAGGGUUUGGCUGUUCGCCAAUUAAAGCGGUACGCGAGCUGGGUUCAGAACGUCGUGAGACAGUUCGGUCCCUAUCUGCCGUAGGUGUUGGAGAAGUGAGAAGAUCUGUCCUUAGUACGAGAGGACCGGGAUGGACGGACCGCUAGUGUGCCAGUUAUCACGCCAGUGGUACAAGCUGGGUAGCUAUGUCCGGAAAAGAUAACCGCUGAAAGCAUCUAAGUGGGAAACUUACUUCAAAACAACUUCUCCCAGGGCGUUAAGCCCUCUUAAAGUCCCGUUGUAGACUACAACGUUGAUAGGGUGGGUGUGUAAGUGUAGCAAUACAUUCAGCUAACCACUCCUAAUAGGACGGGAGGCUUAUCUUU